UUUUUUUUUUUUAUUUUCUGUACAUGAAUCUUCAAAUUUAGUGCAAGAAGACUUACAGACUAGACCUUCUUACUGUUAUCGGAUAGAUCCAUAACUACCGCUCAGCAACCAGACAUGGAAAUGACAUUUGAAUCUUUUGCGCUUCACUGAGCUAUGACAAGGAUAAUGACAGGAGCAGAAUUUGUUUAUGACGCAUUCUUUCUCGAUGUCCAGGUACAAUAAACAACAACAAAAAGAAGAAAAAACAAUGGAAAAUAUUUUGAAGAGGUGCUAAUUAACCGAAACACUGAUAGAGUGGUCUUUGAAGUGGUCGAUGAUGUAAUGAAACAUAGCGGUUCAAAACACGUUUUCCAUUACAUUAAAUGUAGCGACUUCAGGUUCCCCGUAAUAUUCUAAACAACCACAAACGGUAAAUGCGUAUUUGAUAUACAGUUAAAGGGAAGUAAAUGAAAUAAGAUGUUACAUACUCUCUCUGUACAUCUGUUUACACUGUCCUAUAACUUUGGAACAUGAAGCUGAUUAAAAGUGAGGCAGGGUGCACUAGAGACUGAUGCAAAUCUAUAUCAGCCAUGCUAAACUAACUGUAGUGUGACAACAUUGAUACAGGUGCAAAAAGCUGAACAGUUAAAACAAAAUGUAAUUUAGAUGUAAUACAAUGCCAUUUUUGUGGUAAUGGUAAUAAACGGUUAAAGGGAAAUGCACCUUGUCAGUGUACAUACCAACUUUUCUAUGGACGAAUGUUGUACCAGGACGAGAUUUGAAUGCUGAUCUGAUCUUCCAUUUUCACCAGGAACUGCCCAAACUGUUACGUGGCUGUCACAAGUGCAGCCGGGAAGAAGCUGCCAGGCUUGCUGGACUUAUUUAUCGUGCUGAAUUUGGUGACCGGAAAGAAGACGUUUCGUAAUGUUUUUUUUUCUUUCAAUUCAUCAAAAUGAACAACAAUGUGCCCUAAAACUUACUUCUUGCAAAAGCAUCACUUGAAGGAUAUUUCUAUAUAUUUAUUACUAUUUACAGACUAUUAAAUUUGUGUGCUACAAACCAUUUCUCUGUUAACAUUUGUUUUAUUUUACAGUAGUUUAUUUGGAAAACUUAUCCCUGUUGACCUGAUAAAAUCUGAGUCGCCUGAUGAUUGGAAUUGUGUAUGAAUUAUAAAACUCUUUCACUGCUUGAACGUAUGGACUGACAUAUCUGGUUCUAGGGUUAUUGUGUCGGCGGUAAAGAUACUAUGUUGAGUUACCACAAAAACAGUUGUCCGAGAGCUAAAUAUUUCCAACAGCACCUUCUACAAGUGAUAGAUUUUUUAUCUUGCAUAUCGUAUUCUUCAAAUAAUAGAGAGAAAAAAACACAGAAUAAAACGUUUUGUUUUAAAGCACUGUUUUAUUAUAGUAGCAUAUGAAAUAAUACAUUCAUUCAUUAACUACUGCAAGGGAGACAUCUUAUACCCUUGGGUGUAAGACGAGCACCGGCAAAAACAUGGGAAAAGCCUGCCUAGCAUGUAAGAAAAAAUAUACCGACAUAUAUUCACUCAAUAUCGGUAUAUAACUUUACUCAUAAGGGAAGUCCGUUUUAAGAAAAUGCGUUACACUUGACUAACCUAUGUUAUCAUUCUGAAAAAGCUUUGGCAUUAAAUUUUAAUCAUCAUUUAAGGAUAUAUUCUGAGACUAUAUCUAGCGUUUUCAAAAAGAUAUGUUAUUUUUUUUUUUUUUUUUGCUAUUUACCUUCUCUUGUAUAGUUGUUUUGUUAUCUUCAUGCAAUUAUCACAAUACUUAUUCUGGCAUGUCACAAGAAGAUGCAAAAGUUUAAUUCCUCAAGGUCAUCUAUCAAUGGCCAACGUUCUGUUCUUUAUUCUUUGAGAUCAAGGUAGGUCAUAUGUACUGUCUUCAUUAAGAACUUAAGUAUAAUUCAGUGGAAGUGAAUAUGAUGAUUAAGGUUUUAUCAUAUGAAGAUGUAAAAUGGACUUCAAGAUUACUGAAAUGCACUAUAUAGUAUGCACAUCAGAAGAGUUUUCAUCGAAAGUAAGUAGACUUGCAAGAAAAUUACAUCGUAUGUAACUUCUCAGGAAUACAUGUAGUCCAAAUAAUUCAGUUAAAUAUACAUUUAUCGCAAAAUUCAACGUUUGCAAGAUCCAUGCAAAGAAAUAUACAUAUAUUUGAAUCCAAAUAUAAACUUUUUAAAUUUCCCAUAGCUAUUUCUGUGCCUGCUCCCGCCAGAUUAAAACCUGAAAGAGACUACGUGAUGUCAGUUUCACUUUCAUUUUCUAGCAAACUACUGAGCCCAACUACCCAGAACAAAUAACAGUGGCUAUCAACAAGAAUGGUGCCAAUCUCAUUCAUCCGCAUACAAAGGAUAUAUUGGCGACACAUCUAUUCACCAAAAUAACAAAGUGGAGUAGCGGAAACACGUACUUCCAUAUGACGAUAGGAAACUACAAACUCCUCUGUGAAACUUCUUUGAUAUGUGUCAUUGAACUAUUCGUGUUA